GACGAACGCUGGCGGCGUGCUUAACACAUGCAAGUCGAACGGAAAGGCCCUGCUUUUGUGGGGUGCUCGAGUGGCGAACGGGUGAGUAACACGUGAGUAACCUGCCCUUGACUUUGGGAUAACUUCAGGAAACUGGGGCUAAUACCGGAUAGGAGCUCCUGCUGCAUGGUGGGGGUUGGAAAGUUUCGGCGGUUGGGGAUGGACUCGCGGCUUAUCAGCUUGUUGGUGGGGUAGUGGCUUACCAAGGCUUUGACGGGUAGCCGGCCUGAGAGGGUGACCGGCCACAUUGGGAAUGGGAUAAGGCCCAGACUCCUACGGGGGGCAGCAGUGGGGAAUAUUGCACAAUGGGCGGAAGCCUGAUGCAGCAACGCCGCGUGCGGGAUGACGGCCUUCGGGUUGUAAACCGCUUUCGCCUGUGACGAAGCGUGAGUGACGGUAAUGGGUAAAGAAGCACCGGCUAACUACGUG
rnacentral:rRNA from 1 species